GAGAAAAGGAGAGGCAAGGGAGGAGGACCGCCGGCAACGGCAGAACGCCGCUACUGGAGGAAAGGCUGGAAAAGACGAUUAGGGUUUUUUUUUUUUGAGAGAGUUUCGUAUCUAGAUCAGUUGAAGAUAAGUUGGAAUCCACUGUAUUCGUCUGUGUCUGCAAUUAGAGGCGUAACUUUUGGUUCCAGCACAAUCGUCGCAAUUCGCCGCCAUUAGAGAGACUGAGGUGCAGUCGGUGUGACGAUUCCAUUUGUUGGUUUUGAUCAGGUUCUUUCACCUUCUUUCGAUCAAUCGGAAUGAGGUUAGCUUAGCUCCUCUUCAAACCAUCGUUGUCGAUUUUCAUGGCCAAAUAAGAGGAGAUCGAGAAGAACAAGUGGGAGGUUUGGAGAAGGAUUUAAGCUCAGCUUUGUUGUGUCGAAGAAGAGACCGGGCGAUUGGAUCUUCACACUAUGUUUCUUUGUUGAGGGAAGAAGUCGAAAAAGAUUUAACAGCUCCCGUUGGGAAAAAAACACCUCCUGGAAGACAAAAGAAGAGACCAAAAACUGUUCAGAAGCAAAUAAUAGGACAUAACACAGGCUCUUAUGACCCCCCUGACGCUGAGGAAACAUGAUCAAAGGUCAGAGUCACUGCAUAUAACUUCAUCGAAAACCAUAAGACUUUCACCGUAAGUGCAUCGUUGAUGAGAUUGGCCGUGAACCAGUACCUGACGUGGCUGACAAUGCAAGGUGAUGAUGACGAUGGUGAUGACGACAAGCCAGCUGUCAAACCAGUUCCUGUUACGUCUGAAUCUGCAGGGGGCAGUGGUAAUACGCAGAAGCAGACGGCCAACUCAGAUUUGAAGAUGGUUAAAAAGGCGCGUGUUGCUUGACAUGAAGUUUCAAUAAAUUUAUGAUAUGCAUCUUAAUAAUGCUUUUGCAUCUUUAUUGCCUUUCACGUCUUCUUUUUGGGACUGAAACCGUUCACGUCUUUUGCUUUCUAUGUUUUGACUUUCUCCAAUAUUAUGAGCACUCUACGUUUGUUCCAGGCAGUUUUCGUAAUAUGAGUUUAUUUUUCCUUA